rnacentral:rRNA from 1 species
UACAGAGGGCUCAAGCGUUGUUCGGAUUCAUUGGGCGUAAAGGGUGCGUAGGCGGCGCGUUAAGUCAGGGGUGAAAUCUUGGAGCUUAACUCCGAAACUGCAUUCGAUACUGCCGUGCUUGAGUACUGGAGAGGAGACUGGAAUUUACGGUGUAGCGGUGAAAUGCGUAGAUAUCGGAAGGAAGACCAGUGGCGAAGGCGGGUCUCUGGACAGUUCCUGACGCUGAGGCACGAAGGCCAGGGGAGCAAACGGG